CUUCUUUUGUCAUUAUUUAUAAAAAUAAGUGAAAGUGGUGUGAACUCAAUUCCUUUUGGGGCUUUCAUAUCGAGAAGUUGGCCCUUCAAGGCCUCGUGUUCCACGACGGGGCACUUGUUUCAAUUUGAUUAGCGACAUUCCUGUUAUUUUCUUGACAAUUUGGUGAUGGAGUGGGACAAACAUGGGCAAAAAUGAGCAAGGAAAAGGUUUCCAUUUUCCGAUGCUUCCAUACAGUUAUCUCCCAAAAGGAAAGGAGUGGGAAACCUUUUCUCUUACAAAUGUAAAAGUACUUGGCAAGUCCAUUGUUAACCGCUUAUCAACUUAGAGACCUCGAAUUUGAAGCGUUCUCUUGUCACUGAGAUUCCUGUUGAGAUGAAGAAUCUUUAAAAAAUUGCGUUAUAUACUGGAAAAAGUACCCAAGGGGUUUGGGUCCUUAUCGGGUCUGUAGAAGCUUGGAGAAACUUCAAUCUCUUUGGGUUGAGUCUACAGGCAGCGAAGCAGUUCUUGAUUUGGAGUCCAUAGCAGCUUCUCCUGCUGAUAGUUGAGCGAUAUGUUGAUGAAGUCAUCCCAUUUGAGAAGAAAACAUAUUCCCCUUAAAUUAUCAUCUAAAAGCCGCCAAAUUCAUUUUAUAUCUUCUGUCCAACUUGAAAACCAAACCAAAUGUAUCCAGUGAAAUUAGUUUUUUUUUCAUUAGUAGAGUAGAUUCAUCCCUCCCUUGUUAAGAAAUUGAAAAAGGUCAGUAGGCAGGCUUUAGAAAUUUUUUGUUGUUGGAUUGGAUUGGAUUGGAUUCUCCCCGUUAGUUGAUGGCAAUAUCUUGGUCCAGGUGUAGCCAUUAGUGGGCUUGGCCUUGGUUAGGCCUUUGUAUUGUUUCUUUAUUAUUAGGUUUUCUUCUUAUUAAAUUUUAAGGUUGUAAAAUACAUUUGAUUUGGCAUUUUCUCUCUUGAAUUUUAUUAUAUGCUUGACCAA